ensembl:miRNA gga-mir-1586 gga-mir-1586
GCUCAGGUGCUUUUCGGGACAGUCAGCUGUGGGUGGGUGGCAGCAGGGAGCGGAGCUGCUCCUCCAGCACGCUGUCUGGUCCUGAGCAGCACAUGGC